rnacentral:rRNA from 1 species
AACGAACGCUGGCGGCAGGCUUAACACAUGCAAGUCGAGCGCCCCGCAAGGGGAGCGGCAGACGGGUGAGUAACGCGUGGGAAUCUACCCAUCUCUACGGAAUAACGCAGGGAAACGUGUGCUAAUACCGUAUACGUCCUUCGGGAGAACGAUUUAUCGGAGAUGGAUGAGCCCGCGUUGGAUUAGCUAGUUGGUGGGGUAAAGGCCUACCAAGGCGACGAUCCAUAGCUGGUCUGAGAGGAUGAUCAGCCACACUGGGACUGAGACACGGCCCAGACUCCUACGGGAGGCAGCAGUGGGGAAUAUUGGACAAUGGGCGCAAGCCUGAUCCAGCCAUGCCGCGUGAGUGAUGAAGGCCCUAGGGUUGUAAAGCUCUUUCACCGGUGAAGAUAAUGACGGUAACCGGAGAAGAAGCCCCGGCUAACUUCGUGCCAGCAGCCGCCGUAAAAC